UCAUAUGUACCAGGGAGCUGGAGAUUGCCGGCUGAGAGGGGAUUUAUUUAUCCCGACCUGUAACCUGAUUUGGAUAAUGCCAACGGAGGGAAUGUAUACCAUGUAUUU
rnacentral:ncRNA from 2 species